CAGGCCGCCAUCUUGUUAUGCUGAGGGGAAUGGGGUUAGGCGGGCCCUGCGGGGCAGGGCACAGAGCACAGGAUGAAACAUGACAAAAUAACAAUGUGUCAGAGGUUCCUGGGGAGGAUGGCAGGCUGUGGAGGCACUCUAGUUGCGCUUGUUGGAGGUUGUGUAGUUGCAUCUAAAAGCAAAUGGCUUCCAGCAGCUCAAGCCUUUAACAUAAGCCAUGUGUGUUCUUACAAAUAACAAGGCAAGAUGAUAGAAUCAUAACUGGUUUGGGUUGGAAGGUUCUAGUGCCUCACUGCCUUGACAGGGAAGAAUUUAUUUUUUAAACCUACUGCCUUUGAGUUUAAAGCCAUUCCCAAUGAGAACCAAGGAGUUAAACAGAGAAUAUGACGUGAUCUGGGAGAUGGUGUUCAGCAGUGACCCAAAAAGACACACAUACUCCUCUGCUGUAAGACUUUUCCACCAGCGCAUGUGGGAGGAAAAGACCAAAAGUGCAGAAAGUACCCAAGGCAAAGAAGCUGUUGACUCAUUUAGUUUACUAAAAACUAAUAGUGCUCAACUUAUGCUUUCUCCAGGGCUCAUUCCACCACCAGAAAUGUCUGAGCUUCAAAAACCCCCAUCAGAGAGCAGUGGGAUAUUCCUGUCAUACUGUGGUGUCGUCCUCCAUUUUCUCCAAGAAUCCAUUUCCACACAUACAUUAAAUGCACUUUAAGCCUUUCCCACCAAUUUCCCUCCACUGAUCAUUUACGUAUUACAUUUAAACAAACACAUUCAUGCAUGAAAUCAAAAGCCACAAAAAAUUCCUCACAUGCCAUGAUGAGAAAAUUGCUGUCUGCUCCAUGGAAAUCAGAAAGAAAUCAGAAAUAAGCAAUUUCUUUGAUAACUGUAGGGAAUCUCCAAUGAUUUCUGUCAAUGAGAAGAACUUACUAAUUCCUACAAUUUUCAGCAGGGAGAAACAAAAGAAAUACAAGUGAAUAAUAAAAAAAUGAUAGAUCAGCAACCAUGUGCAGUCCGAAGAGCCACUCCUUAACUAGCACUGAAAGAAAAAACAGCAUCAGAAUAAAGGAAGGCUUUAAGGAGAGAUUUGAAUGACAACAACAUAAGUUUAGUGAAUGAGCAGCUCCCACAUGCAAAGAGUGGCAUGGAGGUUGGUCAAAGAGGAAGAAGGCCUGUUGUGGAAGAAAAAACCCCUUUCCCCUCAGGUAUUAAUACAUUAUCAGUUAAUAAUUCAAAGGGUUUGGGGUAUCAUUCUUUAAUAAAAGAAUGCAAAUCAAUAUUAUCUUGAUGGAUAUAUUUGUGGAAACCACCUCCACAGCAAGAAAGUCUUAGUGGUGUACGAAAGGAGACAUUGAAAGGUAGGUAAAGAGAUACAGUGAACUUUAAAGCAACAUUGUUUAAUGAUCUGACAAAAGUUGUUCUUUGUUAAUUAGACUAACCUCUAGAAGUCUCACACCAAAGCUGCAAACAGAACAUGUUACUAUAUUUUGCUACUUAAUAAUGUCCAGGCGCUUCCAUCAUUGAAACAACAUAACCUGGCACUGGCAGGGCUAGACUUUACACUAUUCCCUGCCAGUGCCAGAGAGAUUCUUAUUGCUUAUUUCAAGACCCUCCUGCUCUUUAUUUUAAGCAGAUCUGUUUUGUGAUAGAGUGUCUUUCCUUGGGAGAAAACUUACACCUUUCUCUUGUGGAUCUGACAGAUUUCAGCAGCUUGGGCUGCUGGGCAUGUGCAGGUGUCAGAUCAGCAAGUCCUAGGCUGGGGACAGAAACUGUUCUAAUUUUGAACUACCCUGCUACAUACUUUUCUAAGAACAUUCACACUGCUGCUUUUGAUUAUUCAAAUCCACAUCCUGGAAGUUCUCUUUCAGCCUCUGAAACUUAAUGCAGUUUUUGACAAAACAGUGAACAUUUGAGAAGCAGUGAUUGUAGAGUUACGAGUAUGUGCAGUUUGGACAAGAACUCUGACUGUUCUUGAAUGUGUAUUCACUUAAAAAGAGGCUCAGCCUUUUGACUGGAGGGAGGACAUGCUGGAGAGUGAUCUCAGUUGUACGUGCAUGAAUCUUUUUGAUGGACUAAAAAUUCUUCCACCCCCUGCAGAGAACACCAGCUCUCUUGGCUCUAGUUCUUCUGUCCUGUCACUUACCAACUCGCCCUUGAACUGGAGCAAUGGAUAUAUUUUGUGGUUCACCUGCUACUGCAGUAAUUAAUUCCAGUGGGAAAAUGUAGUAAUAUUUCACAUCAAGGAUCAACUGAGAAAUAAUUCCCUUUUUAUUUUUUUUUUUAUUCUGUAUACUGCACUGAUAUAAUGUUAACAAAGCUGAAGUAAUGUAUCACUGAAGCUGAAAAAAAUAAUAAAUUGAAAUAUUAUGAAAUAUUAAGAUACCAGAUAUAGGUGAAUAUAGAACUGGGAAUAUUUAAAAGUUGUAUAUUGCUAAAUGUGACCUAGUUGGUACAGCACAGAACUGGAAGCCAGCUCUGGAAUCUAACAUUAAGUGUGUCAUAAGGAAGAUCAUUUAAUUCACCUCAUUUCUCUGUAAGAUGAGAAUAACAAUAAUCAUUCUUAUGAAUUGCUUUGUGUUGUGCACCUGAAAGAUGAGUAUUAUAGCUACUAAUUAAACAUUAUUUUAAUCUUCAAAUUUACUUUCCCUGUUAAACUUUAAUAAGUGUUUAUGCUCCCUUAAUGCCAGAGAGGAAAAAAAGUAUGAUUGUGAAGCAGCUGCUAAGAAUUUCUCCCAGAAGUUAUUUAAUAUUAAAUUGGAAUUGAGUCAUCUGUUUUAGAUAAAGGUGCAAUGCAAGAAAUAAUAUGUGAGAGUUGAAAUUUUGAGUAAAAUAUAUUCAAAGGAGAAUCAGAGCAGCUAACAUCCCAGUUCCAUCAAACUGGCUCCCAUCCCCUGGUACCCUGUGUCCAGAAAUUGGAAAUAGGUGUUGUGAUUUCUCUUCAGCUUAGAGCAAAUGUAACAGUAUUUCUUUAAAAUAGUUGCAGCCAUAGGUUACAGAUUGUUCCUGUUGUUCUCUCAGUGUCACCUCUCCUGCCAUCUCCACCCAGCCCAGGAGAAGGGGGCACUGGGCAGUUCUGGGGCCAUUGGGGUUGCAGUGGACUCCAGUGUAGCUGGGUAUUGGUACUGGCACUGGUAAAUAUAUCACUCUCUGUAUUUGUAUUGUAAACCAGUAAGUGAUUUUCUACUCCUCUCUGUAAAGUUCUCUAAGCUAUAUGUCAGUGAAACUUUAGAGUGUCUUUUCCCUGGUCUCUCUUCACAGCUGUCAGAGACUAAUGGCUGCUCUCCAAACCCUAGGCUUUGAUGGUAGAGGUUUUGUGCCUAAAAUUAAAACAGUGGUUCUAAAGCAGAUUCCUAACUCCAGUGAAACUAGGAAUUUCAUCCAUUGAUUUAAGAGAUCAUAUGUCAGCCUUGUCUUCUUGUAAGAGGAAGAUUGCAAUCUGUCCUGUCUGUCAUCUCUUUUGAAAAGCAUAAGAAGGUAAAUUUGAACUUUUCCUGCUUCCCAAUAUCUACUGCCCUAAAUAGCAUAAUGACAUUUUCCAAUUUCCUACGCAGAGGAACUUCUGCUGUGGCAUAGAUUUCUUCUUCUGCUUUUUACUCUUAUUUCCUAUGCACAGUUUAUCACAUAAUAAAAUCUACAGCUGUAAUUUUCUAAUGAGAAUAUAAGAAACACAGCCAAGUUACUCCAGGCUGCCUCUGCUGUCCAACAAACUUGGACACAUAAACAAUGAGGAGCAGCUUAAAACCUGCAUGUCUACAGGGUAGGGUAACUGGAGAUAGAAUUGUUUCAAAAACAAGUAGAUAAAUACUCAAGGUGAUUGAAAUAGUGAUUGAAAUUAGCAAGGCUGGAAAUGAUUUUAUAAAUGUGGUAUUGAGAAAAAAAUUUAGCAGAUCAUUGGCGGACUGAAUUUUAGCAGGCAUGGUUGUAUGCUAGUGUUGGGUUCCCUGACUCACUCCAUGAAAUUAUUAGCGCCGUGCCUCUGGUUGCAGCAGAGGUUGGAUGUAUCUCACUUUGUAUGACAUGAAGGUCACAAUCUGCCAGCACAGAAAAUAUGCAUUUAAUGAACUUCAUCCACCAGCAGGCAUCUCAUUGUCUAAGCCUACUCUACAGGGAGUGAAGAAAAACAUCUCCAGAAGGAGAUUCAUACUAAAAUAGAUGUCUAGAAUAAGUGGGACAAAUUAUCCCUCAGAGAUGUCUGAUCUUCCUCAUUUGCUGUAGAGGUCUCUAAUUAUUGACUUAUGUUCUAUCAUUUCUGCUAGAGUGAAUGCUGACUAGAUACAAACAUGAAGUGGGGUGGUGUCUGUGCUACUGUGCUUUACACAUUGUUGCCCAAAUUAGGCAGGCAUUGAAGUUCUGGGGUUUUUUUCUUUGUCAGAAGCUACUGCAAUGAAUGUUGGUAUGGAGCACUAAUGAGCUAAUGAGAAGUACAGUGCAUGCUCAGCUCUCCCGGGUUUCCUGUGGUACAGGUGACCUUAUGAUCAUUAGAGGAAUAAGGUCUACGGACAGGAACCACAGGAACUGGUUGUGGGUGUAAACCAUCUUUUAAAG